rnacentral:rRNA from 1 species
UGGGGAAUCUUGGACAAUGGGGGAAACCCUGAUCCAGCCAUGCCGCGUGAGUGAUGAAGGCCCUAGGGUUGUAAAACUCUUUCGGCGGGGACGAUAAUGACGGUACCCGCAGAAGAAGCUCCGGCUAACUUCGUGCCAGCAGCCGCGGUAAUACGAAGGGGGCUAGCGUUGUUCGGAAUUACUGGGCGUAAAGCGCGCGCAGGCGGUUCUUCAAGUCAGAGGUGAAAGCCCAGAGCUCAACUCUGGAAUGGCCUUUGAGACUAGAGAACUAGGGUACGGGAGAGGUGAGUGGAAUUCCGAGUGUAGAGGUGAAAUUCGUAGAUAUUCGGAAGAACACCAGUGGCGAAGGCGGCUCACUGGCCCGUUACCGACGCUCAGGCGCGACAGCGUGGGGAGCGAAACAGGAUUAGAUACCCUGGUAGUCCACGCCGUAAACGAUGGAUGCUAGCCGUUGGUAAGCAUGCUUAUCAGUGGCGCAGCUAACGCAUUAAGCGU